rnacentral:rRNA from 1 species
UACAGAGGUCUCGAGCGUUGUUCGGAUUCAUUGGGCGUAAAGGGUGCGUAGGUGGCGCUGUAAGUCGGGUGUGAAAUCCUGAGGCUUAACCUCGGAACUGCAUUCGAUACUGCGGUGCUUGAGGACUGGAGAGGAGACUGGAAUUCAUGGUGUAGCAGUGAAAUGCGUAGAUAUCGUGAGGAAGGCCAGUGGCGAAGGCGGAUCUCUGGACAGUUCCUGACGCUGAGGCACGAAGGCCAGGGGAGCAAACGGG